UGGGGAAUCUUGGACAAUGGGCGCAAGCCUGAUCCAGCCAUGCCGCGUGGAUGAUGAAGGCCUUAGGGUUGUAAAAUCCUUUCGUGGGGGACGAUAAUGACGGUACCCCAAGAAGAAGCUCCGGCUAACUUCGUGCCAGCAGCCGCGGUAAUACGAAGGGGGCUAGCGUUGUUCGGAUUUACUGGGCGUAAAGCGCGUGUAGGCGGGUCGUUAAGUUGGGGGUGAAAUCCCGAGGCUCAACCUCGGAACUGCCUUCAAAACUGGCGACCUGGACCCAAGUAGAGGCAAGUGGAAUUGCGAGUGUAGAGGUGAAAUUCGUAGAUAUUCGCAGGAACACCAGUGGCGAAGGCGACUUGCUGGACUUGUGGUGACGCUGAGACGCGAAAGCGUGGGGAGCAAACAGGAUUAGAUACCCCUGUAGUCCCUGAG
rnacentral:rRNA from 1 species